GUCCCUGUAGCGCAAUGGAUAGCGCGUUAGACAUCUAAUCUAAUCGGUUAGACAUCGGUCAUGGGUUUCGAAUCCCACCUGAGAUG